rnacentral:rRNA from 1 species
GACUACGGCCACGCCACCCUGAUUGUGCCUGAUCCCGUCUGAUCUCGGAAGCUAAGCAGGGUCGGGCCUGGUGAGUACUUGGAUGGGAGACCACCUAGAAGACCGGGUGCUAUAGGCA